ACAAAAUCCACAGACACAGAAAUCUGUACUCUUAUAACUACACUUACAGAAAAUGUAAUUAUUUUCCAUAAGUGAUCCACAUGGGGCUAAGAAAUGACCAAAGGAAGCCAGACAUUUGGUCUAACAGUUGUCCCUGCAGCAGCUUUUCUGGAUCCUGCAGCUGGAAAGGACUCAACAAUGACACAAGUGACUUGGAGACCUCAUUUGCGAAUGGACACACUGCGUAGGACCUCCCAAUUCCAAGGGGAAAGGCUCUUCAAAAUUCUCAUUGCAACUAGGGGCUCAACAUAGACUGCGGAUCUGGGUGAUCAUAAUAGAGCAAUUGCAGUGGGCUAGAUGGGAGCACCCCUCCUGCCAGACCUGGCUCACUGGGCUCCACCAAGCAAGCAGAGAAGUCCUACAAACCGAUAUGGAGACAUCAGCAUUAACGCCGGGAGUUUCCAAAAAAAAGGAUUAGUAUGGUCCUUACAACAUUCCAGCAUAUUCCUCAACAACCUGAUGAUAAAUACAAAAUUGCCAUACAAACUAUUCCUAAGGAGUGGUAGACUGUAACCUUGAUUACAGUUGUGGUUACACCAGCUCCAAGGUGCUCAAAGUUGCCUGGAAAUAGGGCUUCCUGAUGUGACUCCACAAGAAAAAGCAGUCUUCUGAUCUGUAAGCACAGGAGUGGAAGACAGGAAGGUGAUGCUGUCUCUAGAUAUGCUACUACAACUCUGGUAUAGUAUUCUACAUCCAACACUGAUGUCUUCAUGAAAUUAUCUGAGGAAAAAAUGUCUUCUAUUGACUACCUUCAGCUGUGGUUCAGUGACAUGGUUUACGAUACUUCACAUCAAAUAAAAAAUGUUGCAGCUACUUGACACAGUGUCCAAAAGAAGGACAAAUUGAUUUUGCUGAUUUAAACUUGUUCCUAUAUUUAUGAAAAGGUAAUUUUAUCCUGUCCAACUUAAUGCUCGAUGAAGUAUCGUGUGUCUGUACCACUUUAACUCUAUGUCAGAUCAGGUAAUGUCUGUUCCCCUGCAGCUGGCAUAAUUCCACCACAAAAGCCAUAAAUCUAGCAUGAACACCAUAUCGUGUGCAGCAGCUAAUUAAUCAGAAAUAUGAUCAUGUGCUCCUAUAUUAUCUGGAUCACAUUAGUGCAGAUGGAGGGCUUGACAGCUCAGUAAAAGCAGGUUGAAAGAUGAACUGAUUACUGUAUAAGUGGAACAAUGGUAAGAAAAAAACUAAAGGAUACCAAGGAGUACUUUAAAUUACCACAGAGCGAGAAGCGCGUCUGCGAAGAAAUCAAGUCUAGUCAAAUUUUUAAACACAUUAUUUAAGUGAUAGUGAAAGACUUUAGAUUACACUACAAAAGAAAACAAUGGAUUCUCCGUAGAAUAUAGUGAAUCCUCCAUCCUCUGGGGUCUUCAGAUCAAGACUUGAAGCUACUCUGAAACACAUCCUUCAGUAAAACACAAGCUUCUUGGGCAGCACAGUGAGUUGUAACAUGUAGGAAGGCAGAUUUGCUAGCAUAGUGGUCCUUUAAACAUCUAAGUUUCUCUACUGUGGACUAUACUGUCCUUUUGGGCACACUUCUAAUCAAAACUUCCCUUCUGCAUGCAUGUUUGGUGUAAUAGAUGAGACAAAAUUAGGAAUGACAAAAGCUUCCCUGUGGAGAGAAAGAAGUCACUAAAUUAUGCAACAAUAUAUGAAGAAACUUCUCUCUGUUUCACACAAACAUAAACAGAUGCUUAAAUACAGAUGUCAGAUGAUAAAUAUUAAAAGUAGGAGUAGAUUAACAAAAUAUGUUUUUAAUAAAAAGUGGAACAGCGUUAUUCACUUCAAAAUUUUAAAGUCAGAAAAAUUGCAGUAGCCUAUAUCCAUUCAGUAAAUGUAAUUUCUGUAUUGAUCAAUUUUAGGUUUUACUCAUCAUACUUGCA